rnacentral:rRNA from 1 species
UACGAAGGGGGCUAGCGUUGCUCGGAAUUACUGGGCGUAAAGCGCACGUAGGCGGCUUUCUAAGUCGGGGGUGAAAUCCUGGAGCUCAAUUCCAGAACUGCCUUCGAUACUGGAAGACUUGAGUCCGGGAGAGGUGAGUGGAACUGCGAGUGUAGAGGUGAAAUUCGUAGAUAUCCGCAAGAACACCAGUGGCGAAGGCGGCUCACUGGCCCGGUACUGACGCUGAGGUGCGAAAGCGUGGGGAGCAAACAGG